UCCGAUUGUGUAAGAGUAACACUGAGGGC
rnacentral:piRNA from 1 species